UUCAAAACAUCUGUUUCCUUCACAAUUACCAUGGGGGCUAAUGGUAACCGAAACUCAAAGUUAACAGAGCCAAAUUUAGUAAAGGACUGGCAACACAUGCAAUCAAAAGGUUGCUUCUUCUUAGAAGAAGAUGGUGAAAUCAUUGGUCAUCAGUACAGGAUGCAAAUAGCUCAGAGGUCCAUGGUUUAUCUAACAAUUAAGCCAUUAAACCUGAGUCAAGUUGAAGGAAAACCAUCCCCUUGGUUAUCCGUUGAUACUGCCUUGUAUAUUCUCAAGGAAAAUGAGAGUCAAGCAAAUCUACAGCUUGUGUGUUUUACCGAACUACGAAAUAGAGAAGUAUACAUAUUUAUUUUCUAGUGUUUAAUUUUUAAAUAUAGUAUGAACUGCA
rnacentral:sRNA from 1 species